rnacentral:rRNA from 1 species
UACGGAGGGAGCUAGCGUUGUUCGGAAUUACUGGGCGUAAAGCGCACGUAGGCGGCUUUGUAAGUUAGAGGUGAAAGCCCGGGGCUCAACUCCGGAACUGCCUUUAAGACUGCGUCGCUUGAAUCCAGGAGAGGUGAGUGGAAUUCCGAGUGUAGAGGUGAAAUUCGUAGAUAUUCGCAAGAACACCAGUGGCGAAGGCGGCUCACUGGCCCGGUACUGACGCUGAGGUGCGAAAGCGUGGGGAGCAAACAGG